GUAGGGAAUAUUGGGCAAUGGUCGGAAGACUGACCCAGCCAUGCCGCGUGCAGGAAGACGGCCCUCUGGGUUGUAAACUGCUUUUAUCUGGGAAGAAAAAGGCCAUGCGUGGCAAAUUGCCGGUACCAGAUGAAUAAGCACCGGCUAACUCCGUGCCAGCAGCCGCGGUAAUACGGAGGGUGCGAGCGUUGUCCGGAUUUAUUGGGUUUAAAGGGUGCGUAGGCGGCUGAUUAAGUCAGCGGUGAAAGACUUCGGCUUAACCGGAGCAGUGCCGUUGAUACUGGUUGGCUUGAGUGUCGGAGGGGUACAUGGAAUUGAUGGUGUAGCGGUGAAAUGCAUAGAUACCAUCAGGAACACCGAUAGCGAAGGCAUUGUACUGGCCGACAACUGACGCUGAUGUACGAAAGUGUGGGGAUCGAACAGGAUUAGAAACCCCAGUAGUCC
rnacentral:rRNA from 1 species